CAUCCUACGUUUGAUGCUAAAGGUUUAUUGAAAACUGCACAAAUGCGGGAGGAAUACGUUUAUAGGUGAUAUUUAGUAUCCUUAUUUAACCCACAAAGAUGACGCGGCAUCUGUUUAUGGAAUCAUUUAGGCUAGUUCUCGUGUAUGACUAUCACUAUUGCGUUGCAAUCUCAUGUAACUAAUUAAGUAUGUUGAAAGAAAAAAAACAAAUCCCCGUUUAUAACUUCCUUAACUGAAAGAAGUAACAAAAUCCAGAUGUGAUUUUCCCUGGACGUAAGCACCUUCUUUGGGUGAACUGAACUGGUUUCACUCAUCUCAUCAAUCACAGAAGAAUAAAUCGUUAACGAUCUAUGCUUUCUUUCCAGAAAAAAAUAUAACAUUUAAUUAUACAUAAAAAUUCGUACACAAAUAAUACUUGUUAUCUUUUCCUUUAAAGUCAUAAAUAUAAUUAUAUGAAUAAUUGCUAUUGAUAAA